CCAUUUUCGUAUAGACUUCUAUCGACUAGCAAUCAUAAACGCCCUUAUGCGUUGUAAAUUAUCAAUCCCCCUUUCACUCUGAUUACAUCAAAUUUUCUACAACACCGCCGCAGCCGCCAACCCUCUUCACUCAACACCGAUGAGGCAGCGUCACAACAGAGCCAUCACGUUGAUGGCAUAUGGUGGCGAAUGCGGUUGUGGUGUGUGGUGGGUUUGCGAUGAAGCGGCGGCGACGUUAAAGCCAUGGAAAGUGUUUGAAAAAUUGUCUACAUUUAACUUUGGAGGAUCGGUUUUGAAGCCAUAAAGUGCGGAAGUUGCAAAGGUAGGACAAUGAGCUCAGAGACACAAGUAAACACUGGGCCUCCCCAAAUUUUUAAAUCAGAUAAAGCGUUGAAAUUGGCUGAGCAAUGGGUUAAUAAUAUGACGAGUUGAAGAGGAUAAACCAACUGGAGUAGAAUCAGAGGGCCGCCCUUCUAGGCUUGGACUAGGUGCAAAAGUUUCACGCCAAUCCAAAUUUCAACCUUCAAAUGAUCCUGUUGAAAGAAAGUUGCAUGCCAGGCUGGAUGCUCACAAAAGAAAAGCAGCGAAAAAUGCUGAGGAGUCUAUGCUGUCUGCUAAAGAUGGACAUGCUGAUGAUGAUGAAGAUGAUUUAGAAAGUAGAACUAGUGCCUUUGAAAAGAAGAGAGCAGUUGCAUCAAUGAAGAAGCAGAAAUAACUUGCACCUCUGAAGAUGAGUGUUUGGAACUGUGCUCAUUUUAUUGUAUAUUACCAUUUUGUGAACUGUGUAACCUGAGACCCAGUGUAUGGAAAACUUAAGCUUUUGCUUCAAGCAAUCGAGGCAUGUUAUUUGGGCUUA